CGGCGUAAACGUGUUAAGCACUACAUCAAAUAGAGUUAAAUUCUAAUUAAACUGUAAAAAGCCAUAAUUACAACAAAAAUAGAUGACGAAAGUAACCCUACUGCAGCUGAUACACUAUAGCUAAGACCCAAACUGGGAUUAGAUACCCCACAAA
rnacentral:rRNA from 1 species